UUAAUAUCUUUAUAGUAACAUUGUUGUAAAUAAAACUAAACUGCUCAAAAGGACUGGUAUCCAGAGCCGUAAAAACAUUUACAAAAAAAAACUAAACUGUCAACAUUUUGAGACGUUUAUGACAGUUACUGUUUGUUACAGCAAUUUAUCAAUUCUUAGUUGUUAUAAUAAAAGUUAAAACACUUCUCAGGGCUUCGUCCUUUCCCUGACUGGCAAAAAAGGUCGUGGGAUGCUUAAAACUUAGGGUAAAAAGGUGAUAAGGUCUGUUGUGUUGUAGACCCCCCCUUACAAUUCAGUAAUACACAUUGGAGUUGUCAAAAUUAAAGACCGAAACAUAUUGAUUUAACCGUAAAAUCGUCCAACUUCUUCGAAUUUUCGCCGUGCUUUGUGACACUGGUGGAAUGUUACGUGGAUAUUUUAAUCCAGAUAAAAAUAAUAAUUAAAAAGUUGAAUAAAAUCUGUAAGAAUAAAUACGAAGAUUGUAUGUAAAUGAAAUUAGAAUUAUUGAUGCAUAAGUUAACAGCAAUCGUAUCACAUUGAUCUUAAAAAAAUAUAUAUUACAAGACCUCAGUGAAAUACAAGAGCGAAACUCGUAAGUGAUGGAUUCUCACAAAUAUACCAUACCCGUCCUACCGACCAUUCAAAACGUAUUGGAAGAUAUUUCAGUAUCAAAUGUAAAUUUGAAUGAAAAAUUAAAAAUUGCAAACAGCGAUGACAUACUACAUGACACCUAUAAAUGUUUUUUGAACUGCAAUCACCUACAAAAGGAUUUAAUAAGACAAAACAAAUUAAAUAACAAACUGGAACAUUUGAAUAAAGAACUUGUUAGGAACAUAGAAAAUAUGAAGAAUCAACAGUAGAGUUAUACAUUAUGGUAAUUAAAAUUAAAUUAAUGUUAUUGAAAUAAAUAGCUUUUUUAAU